UUCCAGUCAUUGUCAAUUCUCCCAGUUCUUCUAGCAGUAGAACUUUGCUAAUUGAAUCUGCAAAAGUAACUUCGACAGCAAAAAGGCUACAAGGUUUUGAUGGAACCGGUCGUAUUGAACCGAGAAAGAGACGCAGCGGACCGCAUAAAACGGAAGCCUAUGUAAGUUAUUACAUAAAUCUAUUUACACAGAAUUUGUCUAUCAAAGAAAUGACCGUUAUUUAGUCGUAUGUUUAAUAUAGCUACAGGUUGUUCGACGA